AGCAGCCGCGGUAAUUCCAGCUCCAAUAGCGUAUAUUAAAGUUGCUGCAGUUAAAAAGCUCGUAGUUGAAUUUCGGGAUCAAUAUGUUGGUCGUGCCUCGGUACGUACUAGCUUAUUGGUUUCUCCCUUCUGACGAACCAUGAUGUCAUUUAUUUGGUGUUAUGGGAAAUCAGGACUGUUACUUUGAAAAAUUAGAGUGUUUAAAGCAGGCUCACGCUUGAAUACAUUAGCAUGGAAUAAUGAAAUAGGACGUUUGAUUCUAUUUUGUUGGUUUCUAGGAUCGACGUAAUGAUUAAUAGGGAUAGUUGGGGGCAUUAGUAUUCAAUUGUCAGAGGUGAAAUUCUUGGAUUUAUUGAAGACUAACUACUGCGAAAGCAUUUGCCAAGGAUGUUUUCAUUAAUCAAGAACGAAAGUUAGGGGAUCGAAGACGAUCAGAUACCGUCGUAGUCUUAACCAUAAACUAAU
rnacentral:rRNA from 1 species